CUGAACCAAAUACUCCUAGUCACCCGAUAUUUCAUAUUACAGGACAGUCAGGCGACAGAUUUACUGACGCCCGCUAACGACAACUGUUUUUACCAAAUAAGCUGCAAUAUCCAAGAUCCCUGUCACAUUCGGAAAAAAAAAUUGCUUACUAAUUUGUAUAAAUUUAAAAAUGUAUUUCUUUGUUAAUCAUUAUUGUCUUUGAACCAUUAUAAUAUUCAAAUAACAAUGUAUUCCAAAUAUCAUAUUUUGUUAACUAUCAAUUAUAUUAU